rnacentral:rRNA from 1 species
ACGGCUCAGUAACACGUAGUCAACAUGCCCAGGGGACGUGGAUAACCUCGGGAAACUGAGGAUAAACCGCGAUAGGUCAUCACUUCUGGAAUGGGUAAUGACUUAAAUCUAUAUGGCCCCUGGAUUGGACUGCGGCCGAUCAGGCUGUUGGUGAGGUAAUGGCCCACCAAACCUGUAACCGGUACGGGCUCUGAGAGGAGGAGCCCGGAGAUGGGCACUGAGACAAGGGCCCAGGCCCUAUGGGGCGCAGCAGGCGCGAAACCUCUGCAAUAGGCGAAAGCUUGACAGGGUUACUCUGAGUGAUUUCCGUUAAGGAGAUCUUUUGGCACCUCUAAAAAUGGUGCAGAAUAAGGGGUGGGCAAGUCUGGUGUCAGCCGCCGCGGUAAUACCAGCACCCCGAGUGGUCGGGACGUUUAUUGGGCCUAAAGCAUCCGUAGCCGGUUCUACAAGUCUUCCGUUAAAUCCACCUGCUUAACAGAUGGGCUGCGGAAGAUACUAUAGAGCUAGGAGGCGGGAGAGGCAAGCGGUACUCGAUGGGUAGGGGUAAAAUCCGUUGAUCCAUUGAAGACCACCAGUGGCGAAGGCGGCUUGCCAGAACGCGCUCGACGGUGAGGGAUGAAAGCUGGGGGAGCAAACCGGAUUAGAUACCCGGGUAGUCCCAGCUGUAAACGAUGCAGACUCGGUGAUGAGUCGGCUUAUUGCUAACUCAGUGCCGCAGGGAAGCCGUUAAGUUUGCCGCCUGGGGAGUACGGUCGCAAGACUGAAACUUAGAGGAAUUGGCGGGGGAGCAC